rnacentral:rRNA from 1 species
GAAACGAUGUGGGAAGGCCCAGACAGCCAGGAUGUUGGCUUAGAAGCAGCCAUCAUUUAAAGAAAGCGUAAUAGCUCACUGGUCGAGUCGGCCUGCGCGGAAGAUGUAACGGGGCUAAACCAUGCACCGAAGCUGCGGCAGCGACACUAAGUGUCGUUGGGUAGGGGAGCGUUCUGUAAGCCUGCGAAGGUGGCCUGUGAGGGUUGCUGGAGGUAUCAGAAGUGCGAAUGCUGACAUAAGUAACGAUAAUGCGGGUGAAAAACCCGCACGCCGGAAGACCAAGGGUUCCUGUCCAACGUUAAUCGGGGCAGGGUGAGUCGACCCCUAAGGCGAGGCCGAAAGGCGUAGUCGAUGGGAAACGGGUUAAUAUUCCCGUACCUGGUGUUACUGCGAAGGGGGGACGGAGAAGGCUAUGUUGGCCGGGCGACGGUUGUCCCGGUUUAAGCGUGUAGGCUGGUUUUCCAGGCAAAUCCGGAAAAUCAAGGCUGAGGCGUGACGACGAGGCACUACGGUGCUGAAGCAACAAAUGCCCUGCUUCCAGGAAAAGCCUCUAAGCCUCAGGUAACAUCAGAUCGUACCCGAAACCGACACAGGUGGUCAGGUAGAGAAUACCAAGGCGCUUGAGAGAACCCGGGUGAAGGAACUAGGCAAAAUGGUGCCGUAACUUCGGGAGAAGGCACGCUGACACGUAGGUGAAGCGGUUUACCCGUGGAGCUGAAGUCAGUCGAAGAUACCAGCUGGCUGCAACUGUUUAUUAAAAACACAGCACUGUGCAAACACGAAAGUGGACGUAUACGGUGUGACGCCUGCCCGGUGCCGGAAGGUUAAUUGAUGGGGUCAGCGCAAGCGAAGCUCCUGAUCGAAGCCCCGGUAAACGGCGGCCGUAACUAUAACGGUCCUAAGGUAGCGAAAUUCCUUGUCGGGUAAGUUCCGACCUGCACGAAUGGCGUAAUGAUGGCCAGGCUGUCUCCACCCGGGACUCAGUGAAAUUGAACUCGCUGUGAAGAUGCAGUGUACCCGCGGCAAGACGGAAAGACCCCGUGAACCUUUACUAUAGCUUGACACUGAACACUGGUCCUUGAUGUGCAGGAUAGGUGGGAGGCUUUGAAGUGUGGACGCCAGUCUGCAUGGAGCCGUCCUUGAAAUACCACCCUUUAAUGGCUGGUGUUCUAACGUAGACCCGUGAACCGGGUUGCGGACAGUGUCUGGUGGGUAGUUUGACUGGGGCGGUCUCCUCCUAAAGCGUAACGGAGGAGCACGAAGGUUGGCUAAUCCUGGUCGGACAUCAGGAGGUUAGUGCAAUGGCAUAAGCCAGCUUGACUGCGAGCGUGACGGCGCGAGCAGGUGCGAAAGCAGGUCAUAGUGAUCCGGUGGUUCUGAAUGGAAGGGCCAUCGCUCAACGGAUAAAAGGUACUCCGGGGAUAACAGGCUGAUACCGCCCAAGAGUUCAUAUCGACGGCGGUGUUUGGCACCUCGAUGUCGGCUCAUCACAUCCUGGGGCUGAAGUAGGUCCCAAGGGUAUGGCUGUUCGCCAUUUAAAGUGGUACGCGAGCUGGGUUUAGAACGUCGUGAGACAGUUCGGUCCCUAUCUGCCGUGGGCGCUGGAGAACUGAGGGGGGCUGCUCCUAGUACGAGAGGACCGGAGUGGACGCAUCACUGGUGUUCGGGUUGUCAUGCCAAUGGCACUGCCCGGUAGCUAAAUGCGGAAGAGAUAAGUGCUGAAAGCAUCUAAGCACGAAACUUGCCCCGAGAUGAGUUCUCCCUGAGACUACAAGUCUCCUGAAGGAACGUUGAAGACGACGACGUUGAUAGGCCGGGUGUGUAAGCGCAGCGAUGCGUUGAGCUAACCGGUACUAAUGAACCGUGAGGCUUAACCUUACA